rnacentral:rRNA from 1 species
CAGCCGCCGCGGUAAUACGUAGGGUGCGAGCGUUAAUCGGAUUUACUGGGCGUAAAGCGUGCGCAGGCGGCCCGUUAAGACAGGUGUGAAAUCCCUGGGCUCAACCUAGGAAUUGCGCUUGUGACUGGCGGGCUCGAGUACGGUAGAGGGGGGUGGAAUUCCUGGUGUAGCAGUGAAAUGCGUAGAGAACAGGAGGAACACCGAUGGCGAAGGCAGCCCCCUGGGCCUGUACUGACGCUCAUGCACGAAAGCGUGGGGAGCAAACAGGAUUAGAUACCCUGGUAGUCCACGCCCUAAACGAUGGGUACUAGCCGUUUGGUGCGCGAUAGCGCUGAGUGGCGAAGCUAACGCGAGAAGUACCCCGCCUGGGGAGUACGGCCGCAAGGUUGAAACUUAAAGGAAUUGGCGGG